UACGUAGGCAGCGAGCGUUGUUCGGAGUUACUGGGCGUAAAGGGUGUGUAGGCGGUCGUCUAAGUUUGGUGUGAAAUCUCCCGGCUCAACCGGGAGGGUGCGCCGAAAACUGGAUGACUAGAGUGCGGGAAGGGAGAGUAGAAUUCCUGGUGUAGCGGUGAAAUGCGUAGAUAUCAGGAGGAAUACCGGUGGUGUAGACGGCUCUCUGGACCGCAACUGACGCUGAGACACGAAAGCGUGGGUAGCAAACAGG
rnacentral:rRNA from 1 species